rnacentral:rRNA from 1 species
CCUACGGGAGGCUGCAGUGGGGAAUAUUGGGCAAUGGGCGCAAGCCUGACCCAGCAACGCCGCGUGAAGGAAGAAGGCUCUCGGGUUGUUAACUUCUUUUUUGAGGGGCGAAAAAAUUAAUGUUACUUCAGGAUUAUGCCACGGCUAACUACGUGCAAGCAGCGGCGGUAAUACGUAGGUGGCAAGCGUUAUCCGGAUCUAGUGGGUGUAAAGGGCGUGUAGGCGGGAAAGCAAGUCAGAUGUGAAAAUUCAGGGCUCAACCCUGAGCCUGCAUUUGAAACUGUUUUUCUUGAGUGCUGGAGAGGCAGUCGGAAUUCGGGGUGUAGCGGUGAAAUGCGUAGAUAUACGGAGGAACACCAGUGGCGAAGGCGGAUUGCUGGACAGUAACGGACGCUGAGGCGCGAAAGCGUGGGGAGCAAACAGGAUUAGAUACCCUGGUAGUC